CUCAUCACAUUCCAAAAAAGCGCGUCAGACACAAAGAAAAGCAAAAUGAAAGUGGAAAGGUCCCAAACGUCCAUCUAACAAGCACGGCCUUGGCCUCGAAUAGAGUUUGAUUUUGAUUGCGUAACAAACACGGAUCAGGGUGAAGAAGAAGACGAAGGAACAAAGUAAAGUGACUCCGAAAGGAGCAGAAAACGACGACGUAGAUCGAGGAUGGUGCUGAACAGCAACGUGGUGGCGAGAGUGGCGCACACAUCAGCGCAUUUUUUCCAAUUCAUAGCUUGCAAUCCCGAGAGGCUUAGCAGCGACGUCGUUUUGCACCUCCUCUUCUGUCUCCCUUUCCAAUACCUCUUCCGUUCUCUCUUUUCCUACCUUGGCUAUCGUCAUCCACAUUCCGAUUGAGAAUAUCCUCUCUAUUCUAUGCAACUGUACUUCAGCUCUUUACCACUGUGUUCCCAUCUUGAGACACACAAAUCAGUUGGUUGGGUACUCAAUACUCAUGGGUGAGGCAGGGAAGGUAAAGGGUAAUAAGUUUGAAUUCUGAUGCUUAUACUUUUAUUAUUUCAUCAUUUUUUUAACACUGUGUUAUUAAGAAGUGAGAAUGUACAAAUGACAUGCAAUGGUUUUAUUAGAUUUUGUUUGUCCUUCUUGUUAGAGAACACUGUAGGUUUCUGAGAGGAGAAGGAGAAAAACUAGAUUGCAGGGCUUAUUGCCUCUUUUCUUUCUCACUAGAGAAUCCAAAUUCCACUGGAAAUAUUGUAUGACGAUUAUAAUGAAGUGAUAAUGAGCUACACUAAGCAAUUUAUAAAUGAAGAUUAUAAUGAAGUGAUAAUGAACUA